AAGGCAGCAGUGGGGAAUAUUGCACAAUGGGCGCAAGCCUGAUGCAGCUAUGUCGCGUGUAUGAAGAAGACCUUAGGGUUGUAAAGUACUUUCAAUAGCAUAAGAAGGUAAUGAAACUAAUAAUUUUGUUAUCAGACGUUAGCUAUAAAAGAAGCACCGGCUAACUCCGUGCCAGCAGCCGCGGUAAUACGGAGGGUGCUAGCGUUAAUCGGAAUUACUGGGCGUAAAGAGCACUUAGGUGGUUUAUUAAGUCAAGUGUGAAAUCCCUAGACUUAAUCUAGGAACUGCAUUUGAAACUAAUAGACUAGAGUUUCGUAGAGGGAGGUAGAAUUCUAGGUGUAGCGGUGAAAUGCAUAGAUAUCUAGAGGAAUAUCAGUGGCGAAGGCGACCUCCUGGACGAUAACUGACGCUAAAAUGCGAAAGCAUGGGUAGCAAACAGGAUUAGAUACCCUGGUAGUCCAUGCUGUAAACGAUGUCGACUAAGAAGUUGAAAGCUUUGACUUAUAAUUUCUGUAGCUAACGCGUUAAGUCGACCGCCUGGGGAGUACGGCCGCAAGGCUAAAACUCAAAUGAAUUGACGGGGGCCUGCACAAGCGGUGGAGCAUGUGGUUUAAUUCGAUGCAACGCGUAAAACCUUACCUGGUCUUGACAUCCACAGAAUUUUAUAGAAAUAUAAAAGUGCAAUUUGAACUGUGAGACAGGUGCUGCAUGGCUGUCGUCAGCUCGUGUUGUGAAAUGUUGGGUUAAGUCCCGCAACGAGCGCAACCCUUGUUUUUUGUUACCAUCAGAUAAAGCUGGGGACUCAAAAGAAACUGCCAGUUAUAAACUGGAGGAAGGUGGGGACGACGUCAAGUCAUCAUGGCCCUUACGACCAGGGCUACACACGUGCUACAAUGGCGUAUACAAAGAGAUGCAAUAUUGUAAAAUAAAGCUAAUCUAUAAAAUACGUCUUAGUUCGGACUGGAGUCUGCAACUCGACUCCACGAAGUCGGAAUCGCUAGUAAUCGUGGAUCAGCAUGCCACGGUGAAUAUGUUUCCAGGCCUUGUACACACCGCCCGUCACACCAUGGAAGUGGGUUGCAAAAGAAGUAGAUUAAUUUAACCUUCUUAACAAGAAAAUAGUUUACCACUUUGUGAUUCAUGA
rnacentral:rRNA from 1 species